rnacentral:rRNA from 1 species
UACAGAGGUCCCAAGCGUUGUUCGGAUUCAUUGGGCGUAAAGGGUGCGUAGGCGGCGCGGUAAGUCGGGUGUGAAAUCUCGGGGCUUAACUCCGAAACUGCAUUCGAUACUGCCGUGCUUGAGGACUGGAGAGGAGAAUGGAAUUCCCGGUGUAGCGGUGGAAUGCGCAGAUAUCAGGAAGAACACCCGUGGCGAAGGCGGCUCUCUGGAACGCAACUGACGCUGAGACGCGAAAGCGUGGGGAGCAAACAGG